UGAUUUUAUUCAAUCUGUUUUAGAAUCUCUCGGCGAAAAACGAUUAGAUUAGUCUUGUAAAUUUCAAUCUUCAGUGUUAGUGCAUGAUUACGGGGAUGAUUGAUGAAUAUAAAUGGAAGUCAUCGACCAACUGCCCCUUCUCGGUCGAAUGAGAACCGAACCAUGUCCAGAAAUAGCAGAAACCCAGCGAUGGAUUAUUUUCGGUUCAGAAGUGCAAAUAAAAAUACCUUCCUGUUCUCGGCAAUAGCAAUUUCGCAUUGACUGUUUGUUUUGCUGACUGAAACUUUAUUAUUUGUUAUUGUUUCUAUAAUUAUCUGGCGCCUUAGACUGUUGAAACUUAGCACUCUAGGCAGUCAUUCGUAAUAAUAUGAAUUUACGCGAACUGCCCGAAUCAGAGGUUCUCAAAUUCAUCGAUUGCAUUAUUUCGAGUACGGGCGCGAGAACAGUUCGAAUAUACUGCCUAUGAUAUGCAUCAGAUCUAAUGGGGCCAUCAAAACAGAGAAUUAUUUCACGGCUGUCUCUCGCAAAAAUUUCAUUCUUGAUUUUCGGAUAUUUUGCGAAGUUACAAACCUAUUUGGCCAAUGAUAAUACUGUAUAAGGAAGGCUAAAUUAAAAGAUCAAAUACAAGUGAUUGAUGUAAUCAGUGAUGAUAUAAACAUACAAGAUAAUGAUGGACCACCAAUAUAGGAGAUUAUCUCCAGUUCGAUUUCCCUUUUGGUGUUGUUUGAGAUUCACUGAUUCGAAUGUUUUAUGAACUAUAGGUCAUCAGACUUGAACUACAUGCACAUAUUUUAUCUCAAAUUACCUAACUGCAUAAAAAGGUGAAAAAUCUUGUUUGUAUAUAGUAUUUCUUUCGAUAAACAUCAAUUAUACAAUCUUGACUUC